rnacentral:tRNA from 1 species
GUCCCUAUCGUCUAGAGGCCUAGGACAUCGCCCUUUCACGGCGGUAACCGGGGUUCGAAUCCCCGUAGGACGCCA